GCCUGACGCAGCGACGCCGCGUGGGGGAUGAAGGUCUUCGGAUUGUAAACCCCUUCGGGAGGGAAGAUGGGAUGGGGUAACCCAUUCGGACGGUACCUCCAGAAGCAGCCACGGCUAACUUCGUGCCAGCAGCCGCGGUAAUACGAAGGUGGCAAGCGUUGUUCGGAUUUACUGGGCGUACAGGGAGCGUAGGCGGUUGGGUAAGCCCUCCGUGAAAUCUCCAGGCUUAACCUGGAAAGUGCAGAGGGGACUGCUCAGCUAGAGGAUGGGAGAGGAGCGCGGAAUUCCCGGUGUAGCGGUGAAAUGCGUAGAGAUCGGGAGGAAGGCCGGUGGCGAAGGCGGCGCUCUGGAACAUUUCUGACGCUGAGGCUCGAAAGCGUGGGGAGCAAACAGGAUUAGAUACCCUGGUAGUCCACGCCUUAAACGAUGGAUACUAAGUGUCGGCGGGUUACCGCCGGUGCCGCAGCUAACGCAGUAAGUAUCCCGCCUGGGAAGUACGGCCGCAAGGUUG
rnacentral:rRNA from 1 species